AGCGAACGCUGGCGGCAGGCCUAACACAUGCAAGUCGAGCGCCGUAGCAAUACGGAGCGGCAGACGGGAGAGUAACACGUGGGAACGUGCCCUUUGGUUCGGAACAACCCAGGGAAACUUGGGCUAAUACCGGAUAAGUCCUUACGGGGAAAGAUUUAUCGCCGAAGGAUCGGCCCGCGUCUGAUUAGCUAGUUGGUGGGGUAAUGGCCCACCAAGGCGACGAUCAGUAGCUGGUCUGAGAGGGUGAUCAGCCUCACUGGGACUGAGACACGGCCCAGACUCCUACGGGAGGCAGCAGUUGGGAAUAUUGGACAAUGGGCGCAAGCUUGAUCCAGCCAUGCCGCGUGGGUGAUGAAGGCCCUAGGGUUGUAAAGCCCUUUCGGUGGGGAAGAUAAUGACGGUACCCGCAGAAGAAGCCCCGGCUAACUUCGUGCCAGCAGCCGCAGUAA
rnacentral:rRNA from 1 species